UCAGCCCUGCCUCAACCACCUUUAACUAUGGCCCACUUCCUUUUCCGGUGCUUUCCACCACGGUGCAGCCUUUAUCUCCUCUCCAAACUUGCGGACACUCUCCUAUUGCCCUUCACCUCUGCUUCCUCCAGGAUGGGAAGGUAGAACCCUUGUGGCUCUGGCAUUCCUGUAUUCCUUCAGCUGAGACCUUUUCUCAGGGAGCAGGGUGGGCUGCACCAGCCUGUAUCCUUAAGUUCUCAUGAGAGGACAGCACACUGGUGCAGCACAGGAACUUGGAGAGCAUCCAGUUCAGAACCACUGAUUCUUUUUAGACAGGAAGCCAAGCCCAGAGGGAAGUUAAUGGUCUUGUCUCCUGACUCUCCCAAGCUCUUCCUACUGCUUUAUAAAGGAAGUAUCAGAGACCACUAAGGAGAGAGAAUUUGGUAGAUGUGGUGGCAUGUGCCUGAAACCAAUAACUGAGAGACCGAGGCAGGUGUACCACUGCAAGUUUGAGGCCAGCAUGGACGAUGUAGAGUUCUAGCCAGUGAAGGCUACUUCUUGAGACUUUGCCUCAAACAAAAGGCAAUCAGGGGCUGAGUAGAUAUGUCAGUGGUUAAAAGAAUGUGCUGAGCAAGUGUGAGUACUAAAUGUACCAAAACCCAUGUAAGGAUGCGUGUAGUGGCUAUUCCUGAUUGUCAGAUUGACUGUAUUUGGAAUGAACUACAAUCCAGAAUUGGAGGCUCACAAGUGAUCCUAAUCUGGAGGCUGGGAGAUACAAGUUUCUGAUCUGGAUCUUGGCAUGGAGAUCUUGAGGCAUAGCGGCUAUGAAUUCCAUAAGAUUAAGACACGGAGACCUCUGAGUUCAAGGUCAUCUGGGACUAAAGUCAUGGUGGCAUAUAACUUUAAUCUAGGCUACACCUUCUGCUGGAGACCUACAUAAGGACAUUGAAAUAAGGAAGAUUGACACCCUUUCUCUCCUUCACCUGCUUGCCUUGGACUGGUAGAUCCUUGGACUUCCAUUCACAGCUGCUGCUGACCAUUGUUGUUGGGAGUUGGACUGCAGACGGCAAACAGGAGAAGACUGUCUCAUGGGCAGCGAGGAGGAGGGUCCCAAAGCCCACCCACCCAGUGACACACUUUCUCCAACAAGACCACAACUACUCCAACAAGGCCACACCUCCAAGUAGUACCACUCCCUGGGCCAAGCAUAUUCAAACCACCAGCUUCCUACAAAGGGCAAAGAAGUAGAAGAGGGAGGAGAAGAAGAAAGUGGAAGAGGAGGAGGAGGAGGAAGAGGAAGAGGAAGAGGAGGAACAAACACUAAUUAUACAUAUUUGUUAGAUGUUAAUAUUAAAAUAUCUCUCCAUAUGAGCUGGAUGUGAUAGUGC
rnacentral:lncRNA from 1 species